rnacentral:rRNA from 1 species
AUGACGUCAAGUCAUCAUGGCCCUUACGGCCUGGGCUACACACGUGCUACAAUGGUCGGUACAAAGGGUUGCCAAGCCGCGGAGGUGGAGCUAAUCCCAUAAAACCGAUCGUAGUCCGGAUCGCAGUCUGCAACUCGACUGCGUGAAGUCGGAAUCGCUAGUAAUCGUGAAUCAGAAUGUCACGGUGAAUACGUUCCCGGGCCUU